CAACCCCUGCGGCGUUCGCGAGGGCCGAGCGUUUUUUGAGCCAAUGCUCAUGUUUUGGGAAUCUACUCUGGCCGUGGUGCGCAAGUCCGCAGACCGGGAGCAAGAGGAUCGCUCCUCUCCCUCCGGCGGGUCUGAUCGGAAAGCCUGAAGCGGCCAUACCCGAUUCCCACCUGGUAAACCAGGUUCAAAAAACAGGCCGCACGGCGCAUGCGGGGGUUUC
rnacentral:other from 1 species